rnacentral:rRNA from 1 species
CUACGGGCCGCACCAGUGAGGAAUAUUGCACAAUGGGGGAAACCCUGAUGCAGCAACGCCGCGUGGAGGAUGACGCAUUUCGGUGUGUAAACUCCUUUUAUCAGAGAAGAAAAUGACGGUAUCUGAUGAAUAAGCUCCGGCUAACUCCGUGCCAGCAGCCGCGGUAAUACGGAGGGAGCAAGCGUUAUUCGGAAUCACUGGGCGUAAAGGACGCGUAGGCGGGUUUUUAAGUCAGGUGUGAAAUCCUAUGGCUCAACCAUAGAACUGCACUUGAAACUGGGGACCUAGAGUAUGGAAGGGGCAGGUGGAAUUAGUGGUGUAGGGGUAAAGUCCGUAGAUAUCACUAGGAAUACCGAAAGCGAAGGCGACCUGCUGGGACAUUACUGACGCUGAGGCGUGAAAGCGUGGGGAGCAAACAGGAUUAGAUACCCGAGUAGUC